AGAGUUCAGUUUAGCUUAAGGUUAUGAGUAUUUGCCUUAGAAGAAGCAGGAGCCUUGAUAGUUACAGCUGUUGCUGGAAACCACUCUUGUUGGACAAAUAGUUAGUUAUAUUACACAGCCAUUUAUUUCUAUCGUUCUAUUAAUGGAUUAAAAAAACAUACCAAAUUUAAGCAAUGAAUACACACAACCCUAAACCGUACACUUUUGCUCCCAACCUCCAAAUCCUGAGUCUGAACCUUUCCUACUGAUUAUAGUUCAUAAAUAAAUAAAUAUUAAGAUAAACUUAUUUUGAAUAUGAUAGGCAAAGUUGUUUGGCUACCCUCCAUCCCCAUUUUGUGUCCGUAUUGUAUUUUUUCUUCUCUCUGUGUUUAGGACAAUACGGGUAUUGGGAGUAAAUCUCCCCUCACUGCAUUUAGUACCCCUUGUUCUACCCACUUUGCAGUUUGCUUUCGUCUUUCCAAAUUGAUGAAUUUCAUUCACCCGUUUGAUCAUAGUUUGAAUUUACAUUUAAAAAAACCCACCAAUAAAGAUAUAAAGUAGCCAUAUGAGGAGCACAAAGCAGCUAGGAUUUUUGGAGUUCGGUUCAUCAAUCAAGCCUUUGGAAACUUUUAAGAGUCAUAGAUUGGGCUAAUAAUAGCUGCAAACAUCACGGCUCCACGGAACACCUGAAAGCACUUUGCAAACCAUAAAUUGAGAACCACUGGGGAAGGGGAAGAGUGAAUUUUUCACCUUUGCUGCUGCUAUUGUUUUGCUGGAGAUAGUUUUCUACAACAUUGGAUUAACAGGGCAGCAACAAUUCUGUUUACAUUGUGAUGAUUAUCAUCAAAAUAGAAUAGAGAAACUUAUUUUUCUCAUCUAAAAUAUUGUCCAAUGCUCCAGAAAUGGCAGGCCCUGAAAAAGGCAGAGGAUCUCUUACAGCAUUUUCAUUACAUUUAUUUAUUUCCUGUUCCUGAUGUGACAUAUUUGUCUUUGUUUGGGGUGGGUAGGAAAGAAUUUUGCUCUGUGUUUCAGUGAGACUUUUACAAUCAUUCACUGUUCAGACCAGGCUGGGCAGAAGGGUAGUAUAAUGAUUUCAAAGAGGGUAGGGCUUUUCGUUUGAUUGAUCAAACCUUAUCAGAUGCCUGUUGAAUAUGAGUGAUCACUUAUAAUACGAUUUUCCCCAAACCACACAAAGACACUUGUGCUCAAAAUUUGGAAAAUUGUGAUUGAUCGAAAUCUUUGGUUAUAAUGGAUAAUGUUUGCAACUUUAACUAUAGUAGUGCUAUUAACACCCAUUUUAAUGUCUCAUUACAGUUAAAUAAGAGCUGGCUUUCUGCUUGAUUGAAAUGUAGUGGAUAAAUGUGGCAGGUACUUGCAGCUGCUAACAAUAUUAAGUUGCUACUCCUCCAGCAUUUUCCUUCUAUCUUUACACUUGUGCUAUAGCCACAAGUCUUAACCUGAAUUUACUGCAUUGUGUUAAUUUUAUAUUCUCCUCAUGUUAGUCUCCGAAGACUUUCCAGCAUAUCACAAUAUCUUUUUUCAGUAACGUGCAUAUAACUUUUUGCAAAUGCUCAGAUUAGAUUUACUGGUUGUGUUGCUUUGCCUAUUAGUCUCUGUUUACAUAUGUCAAGCUCAUACACCAAGCAAUACCCAGAUGUUAAGACAGAAGAGGAGAUAGAAUGUCAGAGGGAAAUUAGGGCAAAAAACAAAAGCAGAAGUCAAGGCUAAUUCAGGAUUGCACCGUAUCAAGAGGGUAAAACCAGCCCUGAUUAUACUUGGAUGAGAAAAGGCAGACAGAGGACUUGGCAUCGACUUUGAAGUUUGACUGAGGAGAAGCUGAAUGAGAUGAUACCCAUGUGUUAGAACCCUGAGUGUCAGGUUAAAGAUGAUAACAUGUUCCUGAUUCUCCAGUGGUAUGGGAAUGGAGACCAGUUUAAGUGGCAUUGUGUCAUAUUGCUAGAGUUCAUGCUUAAACUUUGAUCCUGCCACAGAUUCUGUUUUUAAAUGCACUGUACAAAUAUAUCACAUUAUCACAUUAAAUAUAUUUUUGUUUGCCCAAGAAA